rnacentral:rRNA from 1 species
AACGAACGCUGGCGGCAUGCCUAACACAUGCAAGUCGAACGAGACCUUCGGGUCUAGUGGCGCACGGGUGCGUAACGCGUUGGAACCUGCCCUUAGGUUCGGAAUAACUCCCCGAAAGGGGUGCUAAUACCGGAUAAUGUCUUCGGACCAAAGAUUUAUCGCCUUUGGAUGGGCCCGCGUUGGAUUAGCUAGUUGGUAGGGUAAAAGCCUACCAAGGCGACGAUCCAUAGCUGGUCUGAGAGGAUGAUCAGCCACACUGGGACUGAGACACGGCCCAGACUACUACGGGAGGCAGCAGUGGGGAAUAUUGGACAAUGGGCGAAAGCAUGAUCAAGCAAUGACGCGUGAGUGAUGAAGGCCUUAGGGUUGUAAAGCUCUUUUAAACGGGAUGAUAAUGACAGUACCGGGAGAAUAAGCUCCGGCUAACUCCGUG